rnacentral:rRNA from 1 species
UACGUAGGGUGCAGACGUCGUUGAUCGAAUCUGGGCGUAAAGAGCUCGUAGGUGGUUUGUCGCGUCGGAUGUGAAAACCCAGGGCUCAACCCUGGGCCUGCAUUCGAUACGGGCAGACUAGAGUUCGGUAGGGGAGACUGGAAUUCCUGGUGUAGCGGUGAAAUGCGCAGAUAUCAGGAGGAACACCGGUGGCGAAGGCGGGUCUCUGGGCCGAAACUGACGCUGAGGAGCGAAAGCGUGGGGAGCAAACAGG